UAGGGGCGAAAGACUAAUCGAACCGUCUAGUAGCUGGUUCCCUCCGAAAUUUCCCUCAGGAUAGCUUCGACUUAUACAGUUGCAUCAGGUAAAGCGAAUGAUUAGUGGAUUCAGGAGCGCAAUGCUCUUGACCAAUUCUCAAACUUUAAAUGGGUGCGAUGCUAUGGUUGCUUUAUUGAACCAUUGGCUUUUGAAUGGAAGUCGUUAGUGGGCCAACUUUGGUAAGCAGAAUUGGCAAUGCGGGAUGCUCCGAACGUUGAGGUAAAGUGCCAAACUCCCCGCUCAUUCGACCCCAUAAAAGGUGUUGAUUCAUUUAGACAGUAGGUCGGUGGCCAUGGAA
rnacentral:rRNA from 1 species